AGAACGAACGCUGGCGGCGUGCCUAACACAUGCAAGUCGAGCGGGAAGUUCCCUUCGGGGGCGAGUACAGCGGCGAACGGGUGAGUAUAACGUAGGUAACCUACCCCCGAGACUGGGAUAACCUGUCGAAAGACGGGCUAAUACCGGAUAAGACCACGAGGGCUGCGGCCCUUGGGGCAAAAGGUGGCCUCUGCUUGCAAGCUACCACUCGAGGAGGGGCCUGCGCGCCAUUAGCUAGUUGGUGAGGUAACGGCUCACCAAGGCGAAGAUGGCU
rnacentral:rRNA from 1 species